GUAGUCUCCUACAACUAUGGAGAGAAAUCUGCCCACGCCUUAAAUUCAGCUGGCUUUCGACAUCUCACAUUUAAACCAUAUGAUGGGCUUGGGCAUUACACAGUGCCUAAAGAAAUGGAUGAGGUUCGCAAUUGGCUUGCUGCAAAACUGGGCCUUGAGGGAUCACGCACAUAACUCCUAGUGAGAACUAGUGAUGAGGAACAACGGGGAACAAUAACAAGAUAAGGGAAAGAAAUGGAUUUGUAUAAGUAGGUAGUAAAUAGAAUGGG
rnacentral:misc_RNA from 1 species